GGAAGCAGCCAAAGGCCCCAUCCAGUGGAGCACAGCAGAACCCUGCAUUCAGCACUGACACAGCUGCCAGCCCAGGGCAUGGGCACCAUCAGCCACCUGAGGAUGCCUGGGUUGGACAAAUUCCAAAAGUUGUACUGAAAAGAGAAGAUUUCAAUGAUGCCUCAAUCCCAAAUCAAAGGCGGGAUUACAGUCCCAUGUAUGAUCAGCCUCUAAGGACAGCAGAACCAGCAUCAGAUUAUUUCCCUCAGUCCCGAGCCCAGCGGGAGGAGUUUGACUAUCCCAGGAAGGAUUUGCCUUA